AAACUGCAGAGUUCAGCGCUCGGGUUCUUGCUUGCACAAAAGCAUUUCACAAACCCUCUAGUUGCUGUUCCUUCUGCAGUCAGUGUUGUCUGUAUGGCGCUUGGCGGGAGUGGCUUGGCCGUGUUCUGGAGAAACCAACCAAUUCCGGCAGAUGACAAGGAUGACUUCAAGGAGUGAGUGAGUGACAUAGGAAAGGCGGUUUGCAUCUCCAAACGAUGUGAUUGUUGUAAUGUUUACUAAUUUGUGUUGAAAAAGUUUUUGUUUUAAGAGACAUAGAAACAAGGGCGUGCAUGAGAACUUGUGGUCAAAUUUAUUUUGUUUCUCAAUGAAUGGACACAAAUCUGUUUUUUUGGCACACUUUUUCCAAA